GAAACGAGGCGACCGCGGCGGGACGCGGCCCCGGGGCAAGCGGCCCGACGUGCCUCCGGGCCGCCGCCUCCGUGGCCCACGCCGCCGGCCCCCGGGGCCGUUCCCCGCGCCCCUCCCUUCGCCGGCUCCCCGCCCGCCGCCGCGCCCGCCGCCGCCGCCGCCGCCCUCGGAGGCUUGUCCCUCGCCGCCCGCCGUAGCCCGGCGCUGGCCGGGCGCCGUUUCCAAGAUGGCCGCGGCGCGAGCGGUUCCUGCGGCGGGCUAGAGGCGGAGGCGGAGGCGGAGCCGAGUCACUCCCGCACUUCGGGGCUCCGGUGCCCCGCGCCGGGCUGCAGCUUACUGUCCGCCGCGGCCAUGCGAGGCCCCGUGCACGGAUGAGAGAAGCCGCCGCCGCCGCCGAGCUGGUCCCCCCGCCCGCCUUCGCCGUCACCCCCGCCGCCGCCAUGGAGGAGCCGCCGCCGCCGCCGCCGCCGCCGCCGGGACCCGAGCCUGAGCCCGAGCCCGAGCCCGAGCGCUGCCGGGGGGCGAGGCAAGAGCGCACAUUGGGAGAUUCAGCUUGCAAGAAUUCUGAGUCUGAUCCAGAGGACUUUUCAGAUGAAACCAAUACGGAGAACCUUUAUGGCACCUCUCCCCCCAGCACACCUCGGCAGAUGAAACGCAUGUCUGCCAAGCACCAGAGGAAUAGUGUAGGGAGGCCUGCCAGUCGAUCUGGUUUGAAAGAAAAAAUGAAUGCACCAAACCAGCCUCCCCACAAAGACACUGGGAAAACUGUGGAGAGUGUGGAAGAAUACAGCUAUAAGCAGGAGAAGAAGAUCCGAGCAGCUCUUAGGACAACAGAGCGUGAUCAUAAGAAAAAUGUGCAGUGCUCGUUCAUGUUGGACUCAGUGGGUGGGUCUUUGCCCAAAAAAUCAAUUCCAGAUGUGGAUCUUAAUAAGCCUUACCUCAGUCUUGGCUGCAGCAACGCUAAGCUUCCGGUGUCCGUGCCCAUGCCUAUAGCCAGAACUGCACGCCAGACUUCUAGGACUGACUGUCCAGCAGAUCGCUUAAAGUUUUUUGAGACUUUACGACUUCUGCUAAAGCUUACCUCAGUCUCCAAGAAGAAGGACAGGGAGCAAAGAGGACAGGAAAAUACGUCUGCUUUCUGGCUUAACCGAUCUAAUGAACUGAUCUGGUUAGAGCUACAAGCCUGGCAUGCAGGACGGACCAUUAAUGACCAGGACCUCUUUUUAUAUACAGCCCGUCAAGCCAUCCCAGAUAUUAUCAAUGAAAUCCUUACUUUCAAAGUUAAUUAUGGGAGCUUUGCCUUUGUUAGAAAUGGAGCUAGUUUUAAUGGUACUUCAGUAGAAGGGCAGUGCAGAGCCCCUCAUGGAACAAAUAUGGUGGGUUAUUCAGCGUAUCAUGAGCAUCUCCAACGCCAGAGGGUGUCGUUUGAGCAGGUAAAGCGGAUAAUGGAGUUGCUGGAGUACAUAGAAGCACUUUAUCCAUCGUUGCAGGCUCUUCAGAAGGACUAUGAAAAAUAUGCUGCAAAAGACUUCCAGGACAGGGUGCAGGCACUCUGUUUGUGGUUAAACAUCACAAAGGACUUAAAUCAGAAGUUAAGGAUUAUGGGCACUGUUUUGGGCAUCAAGAAUUUAUCAGACAUUGGCUGGCCAGUGUUUGAAAUCCCUUCUCCUCGAUCAUCCAAAGGCAAUGAGCCAGAAGAUGAGGGUGAUGACACAGAAGGGGACUUGAAAGAGCUGGAAAGUAGCGCGGAUGAGAGUGAAGAAGAACAGCUCUCAGGUCCAAGGGCACUGGAACCCACAGAGCCCACUGACAGCAGUUUCAACGUCCAUUCGCAGGAUUGCGUGCCUAAGAAGCUUGAGAGGCUUGAGUCUGAGGACGACCCUGUUGGCUGGGGAGCACCAGACUGCAGUACAGAAGCAGGCUUUAGUAGACAUUGUCUGACUUCUAUUUAUAGACCAUUUGUAGACAAAGCACUGAAGCAAAUGGGGUUAAGAAAGUUAAUUUUAAGACUUCACAAGCUGAUGGACGGUUCCUUGCAGAGGGCACGCGUAGCCCUGGUAAAGAGUGACCGUCCAGUGGAGUUUUCCGAAUUUCCAGACCCCAUGUGGGGUUCCGAUUAUGUGCAGUUAUCCAGGACACCACCUUCCUCAGAGCAGAAGUGCAGCACUGUGUCGUGGGACGAGCUGAAGUCCAUGGACUUACCCUCCUUCGAGCCUGCCUUCCUGGUGCUCUGUCGAGUCCUUCUGAACGUGAUACAUGAGUGUCUGAAGUUAAGACUGGAACAGAGGCCUGCUGGGGAACCAUCUCUCUUGAGUAUUAAGCAGCUGGUGAGGGAGUGCAAAGAGGUGCUCAAGGGCGGCCUGCUGAUGAAGCAGUACUACCAAUUCAUGCUGCACGAGGUGCUGGACCGCCUGGACAAGACCGACUGCAACAUCGACGCCUUCGAGGAGGACCUGCACAAAAUGCUGAUGGUGUAUUUUGAUUACAUGAGAAGCUGGAUCCAAAUGCUGCAGCAGUUACCUCAAGCAUCCCAUAGUCUAAAAAACCUGUUAGAAGAAGAAUGGAAUUUCACCAAAGAAAUAACCCAUUACAUCCGGGGAGGAGAAGCACAGGCUGGGAAACUUUUCUGUGACAUCGCGGGGAUGCUACUGAAGUCGACUGGAAGUUUUUUAGAGUUCGGCUUGCAGGAGAGCUGUGCAGAGUUCUGGACCAGCGCUGACGACAGCAAUGCCUCAGAUGAAAUCAGGAGAUCUGUUAUAGAGAUUAGUCGAGCACUGAAGGAACUCUUUCACGAAGCUAGAGAAAGAGCCUCCAAGGCACUUGGAUUUGCUAAAAUGUUGAGAAAGGACCUGGAAAUAGCAGCAGAGUUCAUACUUUCAGCCCCAGUUAGAGACCUUCUGGAUGUUCUGAAAUCAAAACAGUAUGUUAAGGUACAGAUUCCUGGCUUAGAAAACUUGCAGGUGUUUGUUCCAGACACUCUUGCUGCGGAGAAGAGCAUUAUUUUGCAGCUACUCCACGCAGCCGCGGGAAAGGACUGCUCUAAAGAGUCAGAUGAUGUCCUGAUCGACGCCUAUCUCCUGCUAACCAAGCGCCGCGAUGGCGCUCGGGACUCGGAAGAUAGCUGGGCCACGUGGGAGGCACCGCCCGUCAGAAUUGUGCCUCAGGCCGAGACUGUUGACACCCUGAGAAGCAUGCAGGUGGAUCAUCUUUUACUAGUGGUCAUGCAGUCUGCGCAUCUCACCAGCCAGAGAAAAGCUUUCCAGCAGUCCAUCGAGGGACUCAUGACUCUCCGCCAGGAGCAGACGUCCAGUCAGCCGGUCAUCGCCAGAGCUUUGCAGCAGCUAAAGAAUGAUGCACUAGAGCUUUGCAACAGAAUAAGUGAUGCCAUUGACCGAGUGGACCACAUGUUCACUUCAGAAUUUGAUGCUGAAGUUGAUGAAUCUGAGUCUGUCACGUUACAGCAGUACUACCGAGAAGCAAUGAUUCAGGGCUACAACUUUGGGUUCGAGUAUCAUAAAGAAGUUGUUCGUUUGAUGUCUGGAGAGUUUAGACAGAAGAUAGGAGACAAAUAUAUAAGCUUUGCCCGGAAAUGGAUGAACUAUGUCCUAACUAAAUGUGAGAGUGGUCGAGGUACAAGACCCAGGUGGGCAACCCAAGGUUUUGACUUUCUACAAGCCAUUGAACCUGCCUUCAUUUCAGCUUUGCCAGAAGAUGACUUCUUGAGUCUUCAAGCCUUGAUGAAUGAGUGCAUUGGCCAUGUGAUAGGAAAGCCACACAGUCCUGUUACAGGUUUGUACCUUGCUAUUCAUCGGAACAGCCCCCGUCCUGUGAAGGUGCCGCGAUGCCACAGUGACCCUCCUAACCCACAUCUAAUCAUCCCGACUCCAGAGGGAUUCAGCACUCGGAGCGUGCCUUCGGACGCGCGGAGCCACGGCAGCCCCGCUGCUGCUUCUGUCACUGCUGCGGCCGCCGCCGGUCGCCCCGGCCCCUCGGGCAGCGACUCUGUGCCAGCCAAACCUGUCAGCAGUGCCCAUGAUACCAGGGGUUCCAGCGUCCCUGAGAACGACCGGUUGGCUUCCAUAGCCGCCGAGUUACAGUUUCGGUCCCUGAGCCGCCACUCAAGCCCCACAGAGGAGCGCGAUGAACCAGCAUAUCCAAAAGGUGAUUCAGGUGGGUCAGCUCGAAGAAGCUGGGAACUUCGGACACUUAUCAGCCAGACGAAGGACAGUGCUUCCAAACAAGGACCCAUAGAAGCUAUCCAGAAGUCAGUCCGCUUGUUUGAAGAAAAGAGGUAUCGAGAAAUGAGGAGAAAGAAUAUCAUUGGUCAAGUGUGUGAUACUCCUAAAUCUUACGAUAAUGUUAUGCACGUAGGCUUGAGGAAGGUGACCUUCAAGUGGCAAAGAGGAAACAAAAUUGGGGAGGGGCAGUAUGGGAAGGUCUACACCUGUAUCAGUGUUGACACAGGCGAGUUGAUGGCUAUGAAGGAGAUUCGAUUUCAGCCUAAUGACCACAAAACUAUCAAGGAAACUGCAGACGAAUUGAAAAUCUUUGAGGGCAUCAAACACCCCAAUCUGGUUCGGUAUUUUGGUGUGGAGCUUCAUAGAAGCACAGUAACUUUGCCUAAUUAUCAGGAAAUCUCCAUGAGUUACAUCAUUUCUGCCUUCUCUCUGAAACUAGAGGAGUUCUUCCUAAAAUGAAGAAAUGUACAUCUUCAUGGAGUACUGUGACGAGGGGACGUUAGAAGAGGUGUCGAGGCUGGGGCUUCAGGAGCACGUCAUCAGGCUGUAUUCAAAGCAGAUCACGAUCGCAAUCAAUGUCCUCCAUGAGCACGGCAUAGUUCACCGUGACAUCAAAGGUGCCAACAUCUUCCUCACCUCCUCCGGACUCAUCAAGCUGGGCGAUUUCGGAUGCUCAGUAAAGCUUAAGAACAACGCGCAGACCAUGCCGGGUGAAGUGAAUAGCACGCUGGGGACAGCAGCAUACAUGGCUCCUGAGGUCAUCACUCGCGCAAAAGGAGAAGGCCAUGGGCGUGCCGCGGACAUCUGGAGUCUGGGGUGUGUCGUCAUAGAGAUGGUGACAGGCAAGAGACCUUGGCAUGAAUAUGAACACAACUUUCAGAUUAUGUAUAAAGUGGGAAUGGGGCACAAGCCACCGAUCCCCGAAAGAUUAAGCCCGGAAGGAAAGGACUUCCUUUCUCACUGCCUUGAAAGUGAGCCCAGGAUGAGGUGGACGGCCAGCCAGCUCCUCGACCAUUCCUUCGUCAAGGUCUGCACGGAUGAAGAAUGAAGCUCGUCGGUCCGCGGCCUGGUAGUGUGUGUGCUCGGAGAGUUCUCGUAAUCACUACUGUAUGUAAUAUUUACAUAAAGACUGUGCUGAGAAGCAGUAUAAGCCUUUUUAAGCUUCCAAGACUGAAGGCUGCACAGGUGACAGGCGUCACUUCUCCUGCUGCUCCUGUUUGUUUGACGUGGCCCGGGGCCCUUCCGAGUGACGGGUCCACGAGGUAAAGACGCUGCAUGUUAAGUGCCAUUACUACUGUCCACGGACCGUCGCUCUGUCACCUGCUUCUCGUGGGACUGAGAACCGUGACAUCAGCGUAGUAUUUUGACCUUCCUGGGUUCAAAAGCAGUUGUAGUGUUAUCAGGUGUCCUGGGCCUUGUUGUGAAACUCUUGUUUGUCGAGUGCACUGACUGUGAAACCUUACCUUUUUGUUGUUGUUGGCGGCAAGCCACAGGUUUGUUAUGCAAAGGCUGAUUAAUGAAAUUUAAGAAAAAGGUUCUUUUUUCAAUAAAUGGUUUAUUUUAGGAAAGCCCAGUUAUAUUGUCUUCUACUGGCUGUCAGCUUCAGAGCCAACACAUUAUCUGAGACCGAGGUCCGCCACUCCGUUCACGGGUUCCUGUACAGAAGGGGGCGCAACCAGAUGCGCUAGAGGUGAGCCCUGGGUUGGGGGCCCUGCAGGAUGGAGGAUCUCCUUGCUGAGAAGCCCGAGGGGCUAACGGAAGGGCCACCGCAGAUGCCGGAGGCCCCUUUAGAGUCUCUUACGGUCCGCUGGCAGAGGAGGCCGGGGGACAGUAGAGAAGCCUUGUUACUACGUGCUGGAAGCCGUUGACCUUUAAACCAGGACGCGCCAGUGCGAGGUCAGUGUUAAGUGCAGCUGAAUGACGUCUUGACAAGGAAGCAUCUUUUUCAGCAUGUCAGCGUUUCAGCAGUUUUCUAAAAUAGCCCAAGGUAUAUGUCAUUGAUGGUGUUCUUUAGCUUCUUUUCGCUAUUAAAUUUUUAAAAGAUUGACCUUAGAGCUUCCUGAACUCUUUUGAGAAGCUUACAGACUCCCUCCUGACCCCUAGCAGCUGCCUCCGGGUGAGGCAUCUCUCAGGCACGACGCACUCACCUUCCCUCCAGGGCACUGGAUCCUCUCCAAGAAGUUAAGGGAUGUGUAGACACUGAGAAUUUUGUUAAGCUCUCAGUCCUUUCAAACAGCUUUUCGGGGUGCGAUUCACACAGUCUCGGACGUGUCCGUUCAGUGAUCGUCCGUGUACUUGUGCGGCUGUCCUUCCCGGUCCGCCUGAGGACAUCCUGCUGGAAGGAAGCCCCGUGUCCAUCUGCAGUCGGUCCCCACCCCUGCCCCUGGCCUUGGGCGACCCCUGACCACCUCUGUCUCUCUAGAUUCGCCUACUCUGCACAUUUCACUUAAGUAGAACUUCACCGUCUGUGGUCUUUGCUAUCUGGCAUCUUUCACUUGGCACGGUAUUUCUGAGGUCUGUCCACGUUGUAGCACACAUUGGGACUUUAUUCCUUUGUACAUAUGUGUUCCUUGCUACGUACUUUAUUCCUUUGUACUGCUGAACGCUCCAGUGUGCAGAGAUGCCACACAUUUUAUUUCUUCAUCUCCUGGUUCCAUUUUUUGUUUAUGAUGCAUCAUGCUGCUCUGAACAUUCAUAAGCAAGUCUUUGUGUGGCCAGGUGUUUUCGUCUCUCUUGGGAGUGGGACUUCUGGGUCAUGUGGCAAAUCCAUGUUCAAUAUUUUAAGAACCUGCCAAAUGGUUUCCAGUGGCUGCACUGUCCUGCAUUCCCAGCAGCGCCAUGUGAGGGUUCUCGCCUGUCCACAGUCUCCCCUGGGGCUUGUCCCUGUCUUUCUGAUGAUGGCCACUCUACGUGAGAUGGUAGCUCACUGUGGUUUUGAUCUGCAUUUCGCUCAUGAUGGUGAACAUUGUUUCUUGUGUGUGUUGGCCAUUUAUUUCUCUUUGGUGAGAUGUCUGUUCAAGUCUGUUGCCCAUCUUUUAAUUGGGUUGUUUGUCUUCUUAUUGAAUUAUAAGAGAUUUUUAUAUGUUUUGGAUACAAGUCCUUUACCAGGGAUAUGAUCUAGUUUUUUUCUCUCGGUCUGUGUCUUGUCUUUUGUCACUUUCUUAAGGGUGUCUUUUGAGGCACAAAAGUUUUUAAUUUUGAAGUCUUGCUUAUUAACUUGUUCUUUAUUGCAUAUGCUCUUUAGAUCGUAUCUAAGAAAACAUUACCUGACCCAAGGUCACGAGGAUUCACAUUUACGUUUUCUUCGAAGAGUUUUAUAGUUUCAGCUCUUACAUUUAGAUUCAUCUGUUCAUCUAUUUUUAGUUAAUUUUUGUGUAUGAGAUCGAUAGGGUUCACUGUGCACUUGAAGGAAUUCAUUCCCUAACUACAACUGUGGGCAGGACAAAAAAGUGUGAGUCUCUGCUCCACCCCCCACUGUCCCUGUUGUCCGCAGGCAGCUCAGGGAGCCUUGGCCUUUUUGCCUCAGAUGCGCUUAGCUAGCUCAUUGUAGACCUGGCCUAUCCUGGCAGGGUGUGGGGUUCUGUAGUUUUGUGAUGUUAUUUUGUAUAAACUUUAAAAGUCCGAGCCACCCUGUACUAGUUCAUCAACUUUGUCAAUAUUCUCCACUGCUUUCCUUCCUCAUUUGCAAACAUACAGAUGGAAUGGCAUCCUGAAACUCCAUUGGUGACUUCUGCGAAUUCCCUGAAACCUCUGGGAACCAUCUGGCUAAAGACUACAAACUUUAAGAAAGAGUGCAAUUUGUGUCAUUUAAUUCAUUUUUCAAAUUCAAGGGGAUUAUUAUUUAGCAAUCCUAACUUUGUACUGAUUCUUCCCUUAAAAUUCAGCAGAACAGAAAUGCCAGAAAUUUCAAAAAUAUCUAGUUCCUUCAACAUGUAAAUCAAGACUGUGCUUUUGUUUGAAAAAAAAAGUGAUAAAGGUAAAAAUCAUGAGUCUUACCCAGUGGAACGCUUUACUCACACAGCCCUAGGAAACUUUUCUAGAUACUGAAAAGAUCUAAAGGUGCUUAAUAAGUGCUUUUCAAACAAUUCGGAACCUUAAUAUUAAAACAGGACAAGGCUGCAGGGGCUGAAGACUGACUCGGUUGGAACUGCUUAUCCUUUCCUGGAGAAAAGCUUUGCUUUUUUUACUGCUAACUCUGAAACUUCAACGUACUGACUGUGUAUAACAUUCUGGAUUUUAUUUUGGCCUAAUUGCACUUAAGAAAGGUUCUUAUUUUUACUUUAGGAAAGGGCAUCAAGAGAAGACAGGGCCAUUUCAGUUACUGAAGCGCUUAAGUCGGUGCUCCGUUCACUUCGUCGGCCUCCCCUGAGCGCCUGGGGACUCAGUACCCGGAGGGGCCCGGAGCCCAGCCCUGCCCCGCCGAGGUGCCGCUCUGAGAAGGAGACCUACGCUAACUAUUUAGAAGCUUCUCAUACUCUGUUUCGGACACAUUACCUGUCCGUGACAAAGGCUGCGAAGGGGGACAGAAUGUCAUGGGUCAAGAGAAGCAGGAAUAUGUGCUCGGUCCUCUACUGUCCCCUCGAGUCUGCAGGACCGUUGUGUUAGGACAGACAGCCUUGAAACAUCUGAAGUGGUUGGUUUUCGUUCACAUUUGUGGAAACUCUGGAAAUACUCAAACCCCAAGGCAGGGUGGCAGGAGUGCGUUAGAGAUUGGGAUACUCGUUCAUUCCUGGUUGAUGGGUCAGGCGCUGUGCUGCUUGGGGCGCUCGGUGCUGCCCGAGCCUUCCCCUGGGCUCCUUUCGGAGGGCGGAGGGGCUGGCCCUGAAAAGGGACUUGCCCUCUUGUCUAGCAUGUUGAUCAAGGAAGUAAGUUGAGCCUCAUUCAUCCUGGCAAAAAAAAGUUAAAAAAAAAAAUUGUUUUAAAAUGUUUUUUUGAUUAAAUCUCUGAAGAUGCUUUUAGGAAAUGCAGCCAGUCGUGUACGUGCACAGCUGCCGUGUCUUUCUGUGGGUGGGGAAGAACCCAACACGAGGGGCUUCGGCGGCCGGCCUGGCAGCCCUGAGUGAUUGCUUGGCAAAGGCAGCAGACGACCUUGAGUCUUGACCCUGGGGGGGGCGGGGGCUGCUGCACAGGCCAGUGUGUUGACCCGAAGUCAUUUGUCUUAAGAGCCUUCCCAUUUGGGGCGCCUGGGUGGCUCAGUCGUUAAGCGACUGCCUUCGGCUCGGGUCGUGAUCCCAGGGUCCUGGGAUCGAGCCCCACAUCGGGCUCCCUGCUCCACGGGAAGCCUGCUUCUCCCUCUCCCAUUCCCCCUGCUUGUGUUCCCUCUCUCGCUGUGUCUCUGUCAAAUAAAUAAAUAAAAUCUUAAAAAAAAAAAAAAAAAGAGCCUUCCCAUUUCACAAAUGCAGCAGCUACAGCCUGUCUCCUAGGGGGCCGAGAGGAAGGACACCCUUGUGGCACGGCGCUGAGCCCACAGGGAGAGCCAGCUUUUG